CUAACUCCGUCUUCUGGAGUUUUCCAAAGUUAAAAGUUUGGCUAAAUCUAUAGAAAUGGAUAUAGAGAUAUUUAUUACACGAUAUACCAAACAAAUCCAUAGUGUAUAUACUAUAAUGCUAUAGAUCGCUCGUGUUUUUUCUACAAACUUCAAACUUGAAUAGUUUAACUUAAGACAAUUCUAAAAGUAGAUUGAUUUGGGAAAUGAUGGAGUAUAAUAUAUCGGCACAAGGAGAAACUGGCCGGCCUCCUUUUAUUUUCAUUAUCAAAAUAUAAUUCAGAACAAGUAAUGUGUAUAUAAUUAAUCUCUAGGCAUUGUUAAUUAUUUUCCUAGGAACAAGGCCCUAAAUACUCUGCCCAACAUCGGGCGCAUCUUUAGGGUGGUGUUGAUUGUUGAAGUUAUUGUGGUCCAUUAUAUAUAUAAGCAAGAAUAAGAAAAUAUCUUCGGUUCCUCUUCCUCAUAACUAGGUCUACAUGUAACAUGUGUUUUUAUUCUGUUUUCCAUGUUUGCUUGGCAUCAGGCCAUCAGCUGUAGUCUGUAGAUGCCAUGUCAGCGUGCAUGCCUCUCUGCACAUCUAAGAUCCCAUCUAGAAGAAAACAAUAUAUAUAACCUGAACUAGAUUACUAGAGUAACCAUAUGAAUAUAUAUAGUCUCAACAUGUCAUUGAUGUGUGCUUAUCUAUAGGCUGUCACAAAGUUAUGGACUUGACACUUCCAUUUCCAGCCCAACUCUAUUACCAUUACAAUAGAUGCCUGCUAAGGAUGGAUUUAUUUUUUUUUUAAUUUUUGAUACACUUUUGCAUGGAAAUUACAGUAAUAUAUCAUAUUACUGCUAUUUUUUGGGAAUAGUUUGAUGUCAACAGUAAAUGAAAUGACUUCCAAUAAUUGUACGCCAGGAAAAUGACUUUUCUCAAAAUUGUCCACCUAAAAAAUGAUUUUACCAAAAAAUAUGUUCUUUAAUAAAAUUGUCUUAGAGCAUCUCCAAAAGCCUCUCUAAAUCUCACUCUUUAAAUUAUUAUUUGGAGAGUCAUUUGUAUAAAAAUCACUUUUAAUAUCUUUUGACUCUCCAACAAUUUUCUAUAUCUUAUGCACAGUCUAGAAAAUCAUUCUCUUCUUCUCUUUUUAGCUAGCAAAAAAUCUGGAAUAGAAGAUGACUAUAUUUAGAUAACUAUUUAGAGAAGAUGUUGGAGGUUAGUUUUUCAUGAAAAUCUUUAUUCCUAAUAUUUAUGAAGGAUAUAGAGAGUCUCUUGGAGAUGUAAUGAACGGAAACUCAGAUGUUAAUUAUCUUCCGCAAUGUGGCUUCUUAAAAUGAAUUGUGCUUGAUUUUUUGCGCAUCUAUUUAAAUAUACAAGAUUUGUGGAGGUCAUGCAAACCUUGUCAAUGUUAUCAAAAAGAAAAACAGCAUAUGAGAUUUGAGUGAUUCUCUAAAUACUCAUAUUAUUGUAGUUAAGUUCUGGAGUAAGCUAU
rnacentral:lncRNA from 1 species